CAAUGCUAAGGAACUCUUCUACUUCACAGUCGAGAGCCAAUCAACGAAGCGCCUCGACCGCUGCAACUGAGACGACACGGGCAUUGGGCUCGAAAUCUUAUGCGCAGUGGAACCCGGACGCAACCUGAGCCUUCAUUGCGACCUGCGAAACUGCCAUUGCCGAGGGACAUCCGAACUGCCGGUGUUUCACCAAACGCGACUGGGAAAGAGUGUCCGUGCUCUUCAACUUUGUCACCGACCACAACUAGAGAAAGCAGCUGCCGCACAACCAUUGGGACGUAAUGCGUCGAAGCGGGAUGGAGUACAACGAAGCCAUCGGCUAAAUCGUUGCAUCGGACGAAUGGUGGAACUGGAAGCUUAAGGUAACAAUCUCAACUUCACGUUUUGGGCCCAGCCUCCAAUUUAUGACGAAUGAUCAUUGUUUCCCAUUUCUAAUUUAUGCGAAACUGAUGUGAACAACAAAAUGGAACGUUUUUCUUUGUUAAGUGGUAACACCUAAAAUCAACCAAAAUCAAUUGAGCAAUAAACUACUGAAAUGAAUAAUUACUUAUUAAUGUGUAUGGAUGUUGCAUGAAAUUUGUUACCAAAUGGAAUUCCCUAAAAAAUGGAUAUAGUUUGGUAAUUGCUUUCCCUUAAUUAGUCGGCUUUUCUUCCUGAACAAUGGACUUCAUACAUUUUUCACUUGUAUGCUUUAAAUAAUGCGUUGGAAUGUGACACUCGGAAGACGUGAUCAAAUUGAAUAAUAUGAUUGUUAUGGAUUAAUUUUUUAGUUUCUAUUAUCAAUUUAAAUCGAUAUUCACAUGAAUCAACAAUAUCCUUAAUCAAUGUUCAUUAUCUUCUUCGUUGCACUACACUAGAAAUUCAGGCAAGGCUGGGUCAAAAGUCCGGCCGAAGCACAAUUCGUCAAAAACAUUGCGACUGCCGGUCUUUGGUUUGGGCAAAGGGACAUUUCAAAUUAUCUAUAGGAACUGCAAAAAUGUGUUUUAGUUGAUUUUCUGAGUUGACACUCGAACACUAUUUCCAUCUUGGUACUUCAGCGUGUUAUAUAUAUCACUUCUAAGUGUUGUUAUUUUUUUGUGAAAUGGCCUACACUGUGGUUUUCGUGUCCAUGUUUGAUUUCUUAGGGAAGACGAUUAAUGCAAUACUGCAAAGGCUUAAACAAAAAGGGAAUAGUCUUUGUUAAUUUUUGCCCAGUAGAAUAUGAAAUUAGGUAUCUACCUAUUUACUGAUUUUCAAAAAUAUUUAAAAAAAAAUUCCUCAAACUUGUUUGCAGAGUGGUAAACUUGUUUUCUUCUUCUAUCGAAGCACAAGUGUGGCACCGAGUGUUUUGUUCUUUUUCUUUUUUUUUUGGCACAUUCUCAUAUCUCGCGUUUUAUCUUUAUUGAUGCAUCCAAAUUCAAUUGCAUACUAAUACUCUCAAUCCUCAACCCGUGCUGUGCAGGAGAAUAAGGACUACAAAAACUUCAAGGACAAGGACGUCAGCAAGAUCUACAUUUACUGUCGUCAGCUAUUCGACGACAGUUACGACGAAGACAAGUACGUCGUCACUCCCACUAAGUUGUGCAGAACGGGAUUCAGCCUGUUCGAGGACAGUGUGCUCAAAGACAAUAGGGAUGCUAUCCCAGUCGACGUCGAGAGCAGUGGUUCAAGCGACGAGGCCGAACAAACACAUGGCGAGGUUGGCGUGAACGUUUCCACCACCACAAGGGCCUGUAAACAAAAAUCUUCUAACCGAAAGCGACGGGGUCGAAAGAAAAAAAUCUAUGCUCAUGAACUAUCUUUCUCAGUUGAUUGUGCCAUGAGUGCCGCGGAGGAAGUGGUGGCGAAUAUUAACACAAUGAUGGCUUCGAAUGAAAGUGCUGGUACAACUUGCAUUGAGGAGUUGUUGGCGAUAGGAAGGCUCAAGCGACGGACACCUCUGUACUUUUUCGCAUACGCACUUCUUGCACAGAAGCAUUACCAAGACAUGCUCGCCGUCAUGAAGGACGCGAAUAAGAAAUUUGAGUGGAUCAAGUGGAUGUUUAAUGAUCGAGGAAAGUAAUUAUGCCGAUUGUUAUGUCUUUGCGCGAGCAAUCAGUGUGAAAACUAUCUUUUUUAAUGCACUAUUGUUCAAGCGUUGUAAGUUAUGUGUGUUAAUUUUUUG
rnacentral:lncRNA from 1 species